rnacentral:rRNA from 1 species
UUUAACAUGCAGUCGGACGGCAGCACAGAGAAGCUUGCUUCUCGGGUGGCGAGUGGCGAACGGGUGAGUAACAUAUCGGAACGUACCGAGUAGUGGGGGAUAACUGAUCGAAAGAUCAGCUAAUACCGCAUACGUCUUGAGAGAGAAAGCAGGGGACCUUUGGGCCUUGCGCUAUUCGAGCGGCCGAUAUCUGAUUAGCUGGUUGGUGGGGUAAAGGCCUACCAAGGCGACGAUCAGUAGCGGGUCUGAGAGGAUGAUCCGCCACACUGGGACUGAGACACGGCCCAGACUCCUACGGGAGGCAGCAGUGGGGAAUUUUGGACAAUGGGCGCAAGCCUGAUCCAGCCAUGCCGCGUGUCUGAAGAAGGCCUUCGGGUUGUAAAGGACUUUUGUCAGGGAAGAAAAGGCUGUUGCUAAUAUCAGCGGCUGAUGACGGUACCUGAAGAAUAAGCACCGGCUAACUACGUGCCAGCAGCCGCGGUAAUACGUAGGGUGCGAGCGUUAAUCGGAAUUACUGGGCGUAAAGCGGGCGCAGACGGUUACUUAAGCAGGAUGUGAAAUCCCCGGGCUCAACCCGGGAACUGCGUUCUGAACUGGGUGACUCGAGUGUGUCAGAGGGAGGUAGAAUUCCUCGUGUAGCAGUGAAAUGCGUACAUAUGUGGAGGAAUACCCAUGGCGAAGGCAGCCUCUUGGCAUAACACUGAUGUUCAUGCGAAAAAUCGUGUAUAACCAAACAGGAUUACAUACCCCGGGAGUCCACCGCCCCAGAACCGAUGUCAAUUACCUGGUGGGCGAGUAGAUUGCUUAUCACUCGUGACUAACGCGAGUACACCUGAUCUGCAUAGGAGUAU